CCUGAUGGAAUUCGGUGACGUCACGAGCACGUACAGAGACGUGGACGGCCGUGACCUUGUUUUGAUCAGCUGUACGGUAACUUAGCGAUAAGAAAAUAGACUAUUGGUUAAAUAAAUUUAAAUUUAAGUGUGUUUUAGGAGAAGAGGAACUUUCAGUAUAUUCCUUAAGAUGAGCUGAGCAGCAGUCCAGUUUACAAGAUGACAAGAGUUCGAGAGACAAGAUACAAGAUCACUGAAACAAGAGCCAAGACUGAAGAUUCAAGAGAAGAGAAAGCUGGCAGCCAUGGACUUACAAGUGGAGAUUAAUAAGGUCAUGUAAAGUUUUAUUUUUUUUUAUGGAAGACAGUAACUGGAGUUUUUUUUUGUUAUAAACAUUAUUUACAGAACUUUUUAGGUUAUAGUAAUGUAAUGGAACUAGUGAGUUGUGGUAGCUGUCAAAAAGAACUAAUACCUUAAGUUUAAUUUUUAAAGUUAAUUUUCUUAAUUUACAGAGGGAUUAGUAGUUUUUUUUAAACCUUAUUUAGGUUGGAAUUUAAAUACAAUAGCUUAUUAUAAAUGUGUACGAACAGUUCAAGUUCACAGUACUGAUAGGUAGGUCAGAUGAUCUUAUUGAUUUUGAUGAUUUGUUGUUUUGAGUUGAUUUUUAAGUGUUGUGAAUUAGACAAUGAAAUAGUUCUGAAAACUUAAAUUAUUUCAAGCUAAGAAAUAGUAAAGUUAAUUGUAACUCAAAGGACACCAGAAUUUAAUUUUUUUUUGAAUUAGUAAUGUUUGAAAAUUUUAUACUUUACAAGAAAGGUUAUAAACAAACAGAUCGGAUGGAACAAGGAUGCAGUAAAUCACAAUUUCAUUUAGAAUUAUUGAUUAGCUUUUGAGGUUAUGAAGUAAAAGUAAUUAUAGUUUAAAAGUUUGAAUAAAAAAAAAUGUUUUCUUUUUUUUAUUUGUUUGAAAUAGAAAGUUUAAAAGUUAAUUAGUCAUGAUCUAGGUGGGUGAUGGGGUGGGAAUUGGCCACUCUUUUUCCCUAUAACCUCCCUAACAUGGCCUUCUAUUACAACUAACAGAAAUAAAGAAGAAGAAAAAGAAGACUUAUUAUUAGUUAGAAUGUUUUUUUAUGAAGAUACCUGAUGAACUUUUUUUUUAUUGUUGGGAAGAAUAGUAGCAAGAUUAAUCAGAUGUUUUACUCAGAAGAAGAAGAAGAAGAAGAAGAUAAAGCAGUUUUAUGACUCGACAAGCCAGAGAUUGGUGUUUCCCCUCUGCGCUCCUAUUGACUACGUUGUUUACUCUCAUGGGAUAGCUGGUUCGGCACCAUGGAGAGAGAUUGGUGGGCAUUGUGGUUGCCCCCAGAAGAAAAGAAGAGUAGAAGAGGUUAUGGGUGGGUCAUGUGAACUGACCUUCAACCCAGUUACUUCGUGGGGACUAUUUGCUGUAUAGAGAAGAUCAAGACUCAAGAGUUAGGGAAAAUCAUUGGAGGUCAUGUUUCCCUUCCUUAAGUUUUUCCUAUCAAAUUAUUUGCCUGAUUAGAUUAUGCUAAGGGUGGGAUACUUUAUGUUAGCAGUUGAAUUAAUUAAUUUUAUUUUUUUGUGUGUUUGCAUCCUUGCCCAUCGAUUGCAGUUUAGUAGUUAGUUUUGUAUUUGUCAGGCGUGAUGGUAAUGCCUGUUGAUGAUGUUUCAGAAUUGUAAUCUGUUCGUGAUGAGGAUGGCACAACUCCGAAGCAGAUGUGGGGAGAAGUUGUGAGCUGCCCUGGAAGCCAGUCCAGUAGCUGUUGGAGUUGAGUGGUGUUUGCUGAUGGCCAGCCCAGGGAGCUACUCUUCUCGACAACACUGACUUCGAGGAGUUGCACCAACCUUCACGAGAUAAGAGUUUAAUUAAUUGAAACACUGUAAGGACACUUAAUUUUUUUUGAAGAACGAAAGAAGUAUGGUAAUAAACGGAAACCGAAAAAAAAAAAUAAUAAUAAUUAUCAAGAAUUUGCACAUUGUUUAACGAAUACUGAGAAACUAAGAACAGUAAUUUAAUUUGUAAAGAGAGCUUCACUAACAGAACAAUUUUUUUAGAAUUGAGAACUCGAGCCUCUGAAGGUUCCUGUGAGAACAAACCAGAUAAAAGUUUUACAUUUAAUUUUAUGAAUACUUGUUGUUUUAAAAUAAAUCUUAUGCAGAAUCUAGAUGUAUGUUCAGACAGCAAGGAACUAAGAAAAUUAUUAUUUUUGUGAAAUGAGGAAUUUAUAGUUAUGGUUUAAUGGAAAAAGACAAUUUGUAAUUUUGAGGUAGCUCGAUGGGGCUCGAGCUCUGUGAGGGGAGGGUUAUGUCGCGGGUUGAAAUUUUGCAGGGUUGUUGAAAUCAAAUUUAGGGACUUUACUGACGGGACUCUGGGCUGGCUGCUCUGUUCACUCGUCAGCGCAAGUGGCGUGACCAUGUAAUUGGGGCACGGGGCCGGCGCGGCGCGCUGCGGGCUUGCAGAAUUUUGUUUGUUUGUUUGGCCGCGCGCUGGCGCAGCCACGGGCCGCAGUUACUGGGGCGCGCUGUCGUAACAAGCCGCGCGGUGUGGCCUGCACAUUGGGGUAGAGGGGGGGUAGUCUUCCCAGAUGUUCUAGUUAGUUGUUUAGUAAAUUUGACUUCAAUAACGAGCUUUUGUUAUGGUAGGCGCGGCAG